GGUACACGAGCGGCGAACGGGUGAGUAACACGUGAGCAACCUGCCCCUGACUCCGGGAUAAGCGGUGGAAACGCCGUCUAAUACCGGAUACGACCCUUGGCCUCCUGGCCGGGGGUGGAAAGUUUUUCGGUUGGGGAUGGGCUCGCGGCCUAUCAGCUUGUUGGUGGGGUAACGGCCUACCAAGGCGAUUACGGGUAGCCGGCCUGAGAGGGCGACCGGCCACACUGGGACUGAGACACGGCCCAGACUCCUGCGGGAGGCAGCAGUGGGGAAUAUUGCGCAAUGGGCGAAAGCCUGACGCAGCGACGCCGCGUGGGGGAUGACGGCCUUCGGGUUGUAAACCUCUUUUACCACCAACGCAGGCUCGGAGUUUUCUUCGGGUUGACGGUAGGUGGGGAAUAAGGACCGGCUAACUACGUGCCAGCAGCCGCGGUAAUACGUAGGGUCCGAGCGUUGUCCGGAAUUAUUGGGCGUAAAGAGCUCGUAGGCGGCGUGUCGCGUCUGCUGUGAAAGACCGGGGCUUAACUCCGGUUUGGCAGUGGAUACGGGCAUGCUAGAGGUAGGUAGGGGAGACUGGAAUUCCUGGUGUAGCGGUGAAAUGCGCAGAUAUCAGGAGGAACACCGGUGGCGAAGGCGGGUCUCUGGGCCUUACCUGACGCUGAGGAGCGAAAGCAUGGGGAGCGAACAGGAUUAGAUACCCUGGUAGUCCAUGCCGUAAACGUUGGGCGCUAGGUGUGGGGACUUUCCACGGUUUCCGCGCCGUAGCUAACGCAUUAAGCGCCCCGCCUGGGGAGUACGGCCGCAAGGCUAAAACUCAAAGGAAUUGACGGGGGCCCGCACAAG
rnacentral:rRNA from 1 species